rnacentral:lncRNA from 1 species
CCGCCUGGACCAGUACUUGGGCCUAUUUUCGUUUUGGGCCUUUGGCCCAAUUUUUGCCACCUUUGUACCUGUCCUAGACUAAAUUGAAUUUUAUUUCUUUGGGUCUUAGGCCCAUAUUCCACUUGUCCUAAAUUUUAACAAGAUAAUAAUAAGUAAAAUGACAAAGGGCUUAGGCCCAAAAUAACAAAAUACAAUCUUUAAAGUAAAAAGAGCGGGCCUUUGGCCCCAAAUCUUUUCAAUUCUCUAAACUGCUUCAUAUUCUUUCAACUCCGGGACCUGUUCGUCAAUUUUAUAGUUGGCUGACUCGGAUAAGAAGGAAUUUUAGCCUUUAUGGCUCUCUCAAAAUGCAAGAAGAAGAUAGGAGUUCGUAGUGAACUCGGACAAAUUUCACAUGCAAAUGAAGAUAGCCGAAAUUAAUAUCCGAUAAUAAUAAUAAUAAGAUCUUUUCAAACUUUUAGCUCUAAACAAUAACAUGAUUCCUUGAUUAUUUAACAAUAAUGCAUUGAAAGGCACACGCUCAAGC